rnacentral:lncRNA from 1 species
UGGUACCUGUGGGUAGCUACUAUGUGAAUGGAGAUGUCAGCUUGGGAACCUCAGAACCUGUUCUGGAUCCACAGCAAAUCCAAGCAUUUGAUCAGCUUUGCCGUCUCUACCGAGGAAGCUCCAGGCUGGCUCUCCUCACGGAACUCUCCCAGAAUCGCAGCAGCGAGAGCUAUAGGCCAUUCAGUGGCUCGCAGAGUGCUCCUGCUUUCAACAGCAUCUUCCAGAAUGAGAACUUCCAGCUGCAGCUCAUUCCUCCACCUGUGACUGAGGAUUGAUGACUCCAUGGAGCCUGGCCCAGGAGAACCAGAGAUGAUCCCGAGGCAGCUGGGGAGAGGCCCCGCCUCUGGUGGGCUUGGCCUCCACCACCUCCCACGCUUCUGAGAAGAGGUUCCAAAUUGGGCUUCUGUGCCCAGAGCGUCCACAGCACCAUUCCCAGUGUAGACUCCCAGUCUUCUCCACAUUGCUGUCAUGGCGUCAGUUCACCAGACUCAUUGAUUUUGUUUUGCUUGUUAAGCAAAGGAAUGUCACAUACCUCUGUCCAGCUUUUUAGGAAAUACAUUUCGCCUAUUGCGACUUUUUCCAUUUACCCUGAAGCCUAGAAAGUAGGUGGAACUCACACAAAUGGCAUUCCAGAGUCUGCCAUACUCCGUCUCCUCCAGCUGCUGGAUAAUACAGAGGAACUUCAACUUCUACAGGGAACAGUGGUUGGCCAGGCUGCAGUAUAACUGAAGCAUGCCUUGGAGAGAGCAGACACUGUGGGGGCCAGGGCCAUCUCCCUUUAAUGUGUUCAUGUUAAAACCUAUUUGAGUGUAAGACUUGCCCUUUCU